rnacentral:tRNA from 1 species
CGGGGCGUAGCUCAGACUGGCAGAGCGCUGCGUUUGGGACGCAGAGGUCGGAGGUUCAAAUCCUCUCGCCCCGA